rnacentral:rRNA from 1 species
GACACGGCCCAGACUCCUACGGGAGGCAGCAGUGGGGAAUAUUGCACAAUGGGCGAAAGCCUGAUGCAGCCAUGCCGCGUGUGUGAAGAAGGCUCUAGGGUUGUAAAGCACUUUCAGUGGGGAGGAAAAGCUCAAAAUUAAUACUUUUGAGCCUUGACGUUACCUGCAGAAGAAGCACCGGCAAACUCCGUGCCAGCAGCCGCGGUAAUACGGAGGGUGCGAGCGUUAAUCGGAAUUACUGGGCGUAAAGCGCGCGUAGGUGGUUUGAUAAGCUAGCUGUGAAAGCCCUGGGCUCAACCUGGGAACUGCAGUUAGAACUGUCUGGCUAGAGUAUAGUAGAGGGUGGCGGAAUUUCCUGUGUAGCGGUGAAAUGCGUAGAUAUAGGAAGGAACAUCAGUGGCGAAGGCGGCCACCUGGACUAAUACUGACACUGAGGUGCGAAAGCGUGGGGAGCAAACAGGAUUAGAUACCCUGGUAGUCCACGCCGUAAACGAUGUCUACUAGCCGUUGGGAGACUUGAUCUCUUAGUGGCGCAGUUAACGCGAUAAGUAGACCGCCUGGGGAGUACGGCCGCAAGGUUAAAACUCAAAUGAAUUGACGGGGGCCCGCACAAGCGGUGGAGCAUGUGGUUUAAUUCGACGCAACGCGAAGAACCUUACCAGGUCUUGACAUCCUAGAAACUUAGCAGAGAUGCUUUGGUGCCUUCGGGAAUCUAGUGACAGGUGCUGCAUGGCUGUCGUCAGCUCGUGUCGUGAGAUGUUGGGUUAAGUCCCGUAACGAGCGCAACCCUUGUCCUUAGUUGCCAGCACGUAAUGGUGGGAACUCUAAGGAGACUGCCGGUGACAAACCGGAGGAAGGUGGGGACGACGUCAAGUCAUCAUGGCCCUUACGACCUGGGCUACACACGUGCUACAAUGGCCAGUACAGAGGGCUGCAAGCCCGCGAGGGGGAGCUAAUCUCACAAAGCUGGUCGUAGUCCGGAUCGCAGUCUGCAACUCGACUGCGUGAAGUUGGAAUCGCUAGUAAUCGUGAAUCAGAAUGUCACGGUGAAUACGUUCCCGGGCCUUGUACACACCGCCCGUCACACCAUGGGAGUGGGUUGCAAAAGAAGUGGGUAGACUAACCUUCGGGAGGUCGCUCACCACUUUGUGAUUCAUGACUGGGGUGAAGUCGUAACAAGGUAGCCCUAGGGGAACCUGGGGCUG